GCCCAAGAGAUCGGGAUAACACCUGGAAACAGAUGCUAAUACCGGAUAACAACAGAUGAUGCCUAUCAACUGUUUAAAAGAUGGUUCUGCUAUCACUCUUGGAUGGACCUGCGGUGCAUUAGCUAGUUGGUAGGGUAACGGCCUACCAAGGCGAUGAUGCAUAGCCGAGUUGAGAGACUGAUCGGCCACAUUGGGACUGAGACNACGGCCCAAACUCCUACGGGAGGCAGCAGCC
rnacentral:rRNA from 1 species